rnacentral:rRNA from 1 species
CCUACUGGCGGCAUCAUUAGGGCAUCUUGCUCAAUGGGGGAAACCCUGAAGCAGCAACGCCGCGUGGAGUCUUCCUUUUUUCUUCUUUUCCCCUCCUUUUUUUCGCUCCUCUCCUGACGGUAUCCCACGAAUAAGCACCGGCUAACUCCGUGCCAGCAGCCGCGGUAAUACGGAGGGUGCAAGCGUUACUCGGAAUCACUGGGCGUAAAGAGUGCGCAGGCGGGCUUGUAAGUCAGAUGUGAAAUCCUGUAGCUUAACUACAGAACUGCAUUUGAAACUAUGAGUCUAGAGUGUGGGAGAGGUAGGUGGAAUUCUUGGUGUAGGGGUAAAAUCCGUAGAUAUCAAGAGGAAUACUCAUUGCGAAGGCGACCUACUGGAACAUUACUGACGCUCAUGCACGAAAGCGUGGGGAGCAAACAGGAUUAGAUACCCCAGUAGUC